rnacentral:rRNA from 1 species
GGCGUAAAGGGCUCGCAGGCGGUUUCUUAAGUCUGAUGUGAAAGCCCCCGGCUCAACCGGGGAGGGUCAUUGGAAACUGGGAAACUUGAGUGCAGAAGAGGAGAGUGGAAUUCCACGUGUAGCGGUGAAAUGCGUAGAGAUGUGGAGGAACACCAGUGGCGAAGGCGACUCUCUGGUCUGUAACUGACGCUGAGGAGCGAAAGCGUGGGGAGCGAACAGGAUUAGAUACCCUGGUAGUCCACGCCGUAAACGAUGAGUGCUAAGUGUUAGGGGGUUUCCGCCCCUUAGUGCUGCAGCUAACGCAUUAAGCACUCCGCCUGGGGAGUACGGUCGCAAGACUGAAACUCAAAGGAAUUGACGGGGGCCCGCACAAGCGGUGGAGCAUGUGGUUUAAUUCGAAGCAACGCGAAGAACCUUACCAGGUCUUGACAUCCUCUGACAACCCUAGAGAUAGGGCUUUCCCUUCGGGGACAGAGUGACAGGUGGUGCAUGGUUGUCGUCAGCUCGUGUCGUGAGAUGUUGGGUUAAGUCCCGCAACGAGCGCAACCCUUGAUCUUAGUUGCCAGCAUUCAGUUGGGCACUCUAAGGUGACUGCCGGUGACAAACCGGAGGAAGGUGGGGAUGACGUCAAAUCAUCAUGCCCCUUAUGACCUGGGCUACACACGUGCUACAAUGGACAGAACAAAGGGCUGCAAGACCGC